AAUCAACGCUGGCGGCGUGCCUAACACAUGCAAGUCGAACGCGAAAGUCCCGCAAGGGGCAAGUAGAGUGGCAAACGGGUGAGUAACACGUGGGUGACCUGCCUUCGAGUGGGGGAUAACGUCCCGAAAGGGACGCUAAUACCGCAUAACAUCCUGCCUUUGAAGAGGCGGACAUCAAAGCUGGGGACCGAAGGCCUGGCGCUUGAAGAGGGGCCCGCGCCUGAUUAGCUAGUUGGGGGGUAAGUGGCUCACCAAGGCAUCGAUCAGUAUCCGGCCUGAGAGGGCGGGACGGACACACUGGGACUGAGACACGGCCCAGACUCCUACGGGAGGCAGCAGUGGGGAAUUGUUCGCAAUGGGCGCAAGCCUGACGACGCAACGCCGCGUGGAGGACGAAGACCUCGG
rnacentral:rRNA from 1 species